CGGAAACCGGAAGUAAGCGAGCGAAGCGCAUCGUAGACGUCGUAGCUAGGGUUUUCUUCAGCCUCGUGACUACGGCGAUGCUAAGCUAGUGGGGCCAAAGUAUCGGCGCAUUCCAUGUAGCUAAGCUAGUGGGGAAAGAGUCACCACAUUCCAUGUUUUUGGAUGGACGACACGCUCGGACAAUAAUAAAAUAGCAAGGAUGUCUACACAUUGUACUGCCUACUAUUUAACACACGUCAAACAAUCACAACAAGGGAACUCCGAACUAGGAAUAACCUUUCAUGGGUGUCCGGAAUUGCUGAGUCAGCACAAUUUAAAUCGCCCAUCCAAAAGAAAAGCGCGGGCCAGGACGCCCCUCCUGCGGGCACCCGGUUAAGAGGAUACCACCCUCUCUCAUGGGCUCAGGGCAAUCCGCCAGCUCCAACGAGGUACCCUGUCCAGCCACCAGAAGAAGGACACGGGGACCAAUCAGCCACCCCCUCAGCCAACCACAACCCACCACCCAGAGCACAUCACCACUGCCACUCCCCAAUCCCCCUCGGAAAGACAGAGGCCCCCGACCUGCCAACAAGGCCGACACAGGGGUCAGCUAUCACCCAGGAGGGGUAGUAGCCAGUGACCCACACCAGCUGGAGAAGUGAAUAGGUGGAGGCGCCUGAAAGACGAGACAAAGAUGGGGACCGCAAGGGCUGUCAUUGGACAGGGGUCGGGGGAGCCCAGGAGUCAUGCUAUGUGCCUUGUGACAAUUCACCCUGAAACUAUGGUAAAUAAAUAAAGUAAAUACAUUUUCAAAAACAA